CUGGGUGAUUAAUAAACUAAUUGACACGGGGGACACUUGUCACUGGCGAAGCAGCUCCCUAGCCAAAGCGAGGAGCAACUACAUAGCGUCUCCCGGGGAGCUGGGAAGUGACAGUCUACACCCGCUUCCGGGCUCCCCGUGACAUAGGCCAGCCGGGCCUCCAUUUACACCUCAAAGCAAAGUCACAGAGGGAUCCGCCCCUUUCCUGGCUGCCUACACAGAAAGCAGCCAUGGGAGACUUGCCGAGGACUUUGUCCACCAAGUGAUGAAAGCAUGCAAAUGCCUCCGAAUCAAAGGCCUGAGCCACGUAUGAAGUGUGAAUCUUCACACCAUGCAAGAGAAGCCACAUGUUAUUGCUCUGGUCAACAAUCCCAGCUGACCCAACCAGAUAGUGUAUCAGGCAUAUGAGUAAAGCAUUCUUAGAUUCUUCAGUCCAGCCCUUCACCAGCAGAACACCAUUCAGCAACCCUUGUCGGCAUCAUGUGGGACAGAAGAACCACCCAGCUGAGCCUUAUCCAAAUUCCUGACCACAAAAUCAUAAGCCCUGAGAGAGCAAGACCAGCCCCUUCUUUUCUUCCACCUCCUCAUCUACUCAACAUGUAUCUUCAUUCUCAAGACGAUGAGGAUGAAGACCUUUAUGAUGCUCCACUCCCAGUUAAUAAAUAGUAAGCAUAUUUUCUCUUUCUUCUGAUUUUCUUUUCUCUAGUUUAUUUUAUUGUAAGAAUGCAGUAUAUAAUAUAUGUAACAUACAAAAUAUGUGUUAAUCAAUUAUUUAUGCUAUCAGUAAGGCUUCUGGUCAAUAGGGGGUUUUUAGUAAAGUUUUUGAGCAGUCAUAAUUACACAUGGAUUUUCAGCUAUAGAGAGGGUCAGUACCCCUAAUCCCCACGUUGUUCAAGAGUUAACUGUACAUAGUUUUACUCCUGUUAGGAAUAAUGCUCAAAA
rnacentral:lncRNA from 1 species